UAGGGAAUAUUGCGCAAUGGACGAAAGUCUGACGCAGCCACGCCGCGUGAGUGAGGAAGGCCUUCGGGUUGUAAAGCUCUGUCGCCUGGGAAAAACGGCUAUCCGGGGAAAGUUCGGGUAGCGUGAUGGUACCAGGAAAGGAAGCGCCGGCAAACUCUGUGCCAGCAGCCGCGGUAAUACAGAGGGUGCAAGCGUUGUUCGGAAUUACUGGGCGUAAAGCGUGCGUAGUCGGUAUUGAGAGUCGCGGGUGAAAUCCCAGGGCUUAACCCUGGAACUGCCUGCGAGACCUCAGUACUAGAGUGUGAGAGGGGAUAGUGGAAUACCCAGUGUAGCGGUGAAAUGCGUAGAGAUUGGGUGGAACACCGGUGGCGAAGGCGGCUAUCUGGCUCACAACUGACGAUCAGGCACGAAAGCGUGGGGAGCAAACAGGAUUAGAUACCCCUGUAGUCCCUGAGCGGGCUGGCAAGGCGCAU
rnacentral:rRNA from 1 species